rnacentral:rRNA from 1 species
GACGGAGGAUGCAAGCGUUAUCCGGAAUGAUUGGGCGUAAAGCGUCCGCAGGUGGCAAAUCAAGUCUGCUGUUAAAGCGCAGGGCUUAACUCUGUAAAGGCAGUGGAAACUGAUUAGCUAGAGUGUGGUAGGGGCAGAGGGAAUUCCCAGUGUAGCGGUGAAAUGCGUAGAUAUUGGGAAGAACACCGGUGGCGAAGGCGGCUCACUGGCUCGUAUCUGACGCUCAGGCGCGACAGCGUGGGGAUCAAACAGG